GGAGCAGUAACUCAGCGGUAGAGUGGUAGAUUGCAAUGGUGUAACAACUAGCAAUUAUCUAUAGGUCCCGUGUUCGAUCCACGGCUGUUCCU